rnacentral:lncRNA from 1 species
UCUUGCCAACCCUCGCCUUUGUUUUCUCCUUCUUCUCCUUUUGACAACUAGUAGGUUUAUAUUGGCAACAUUUAAGUUCAGUCGGACCUGAAUAAGAGCUGCUUGAUAGUGAAGACAUGAUCUUACUCCAAGAUCCAUCAUGAGUAAUAGAAGUUCAUGACACUGAAGAAAUCUGACUUAUCUAUAAUUGUCAUCUCUGAGUGAAGCGACAUUUUCAAUUGGCAUUUAUCUGAUUUACAUUCGGUAGGUAUCCGUAAUCCUUCCGUUCAUGUCUACCAGGACCUGCAACGGAUGUAUAACGAACAAGUAACGGAUAUAAAACGGACACGAAACGGACAAGUACCGCACAAAACGGACGACUACCGGACAUUCAACGGAUACUUCAUCCGUUGGACGUCCGUUCAAAGUUUUGAACAUGCUCAAAAUUUUCCACCGAACAUAUACCGGACGCCGAUGGAUAAAAUGGGCGCUAAACGGAGAUGAAACAGAUAUGGACGGACUUAAACGGAUUAAAAAAAAGUUAUCCGUUCGACAUCCGUUCGAGCUAUCCAUUAUGUGUGACCGAGGCUAUUGAACCGCAUUCUUAUAUUCACAGUUUGUCUGUAUGUGAUAUAUCACAUAGUUGUUUUCCUCGUAGCAAUAGUAUACCGUAUACAAUAAAGAAACCAUUCCAUCAAUUGUUCUGCACCGUUUUUGCAGCAUUGUAGUUUGUAAAAUUAUUUUUAUUUAAGUCUUAACUUAUAUGUAACA